AGCCAAGUAAAACUAGAAAAGAAAUUUAAAGGUGAAAUGAAUCAAUAGAAAGAGAUGAUUAGCAGGUAUUUCUAACCUUUGAAUGAUUUACCGUAGUUAUUACAGCAUUUCUAUCCUCACACUAAUGGGUGCUUUGUAAUAUAUUCAGACCUCCAUGAUCUCAGGGGAAGGUGUUUGUUUUACCACAGGGUGAAGGGAGAAGGAUGUUGUGCCCUAGGCUCUGGAUGUACAUGGAGAGGGGAAGGUGCAGACAUACUUGGCUUCUUGCAGGCAGUUAAAACGGUACUGAGCCUGCUGAAGUCUCAGGAUCCCAACCCCUGAACCUGGGUUAAACUGUUUAAUUUUGGACAGUGACCAGGCCAUGUUAACAUGACUCUUUGCGUCCACGUUUCAUCUACAUUAUACAACAGAUUUCUAUACAAAUGAUAACCUGAGUGAUGGGCUGUCUGACAGUGACCCCCCAGUCCGGAAAGGAGGGAAGCAGCAAGGCAUAAAGUGUUUUCUAGAUACCACGUUCCCUACAGUAACAGAGAGUUCUAUCAAUCUGCCUGCUGCUUGGGGA